rnacentral:misc_RNA from 1 species
GCCUGAUAGUCGAUUGUUGGACAAUUCUAAUACUCUCAAUAGGCUCAUUUUGCCAAUUGAUGAAGGAAUGCCACCAAUGAGCCCAUUUCUAGAUAAGUAUAGAGAAUCUAAAUUUGGAAAACUUACUCCAAUUUCUGUUGGAAUGGAACCAUUGAAGUAAUUGCUAAAGAGAUCUAAGUGUGAAAUAUACACAUGGGAAUGAAUUGGCAAGUG